rnacentral:rRNA from 1 species
UCCGUAGGUGAACCUGCGGAAGGAUCAUUAAAGAUUCUAAGGCUUCGGUCUUAAUUUCGGCUGUGCGCUCAGGCUGCACGCCGAUAACCUCUCACACCUGUGCACCUUUUCGGUUGCGGUUUCGGCCGCUUCCGCUUUUACAUGCAACCACGAAAAGUCUAGAAUGUGACGAGAACUAUAAAGUAACAACUUUCAACAACGGAUCUCUUGGCUCUCGCAUCGAUGAAGAACGCAGCGAAAUGCGAUAAGUAAUGUGAAUUGCAGAAUUCGGUGAAUCAUCGAAUCUUUGAACGCACCUUGCGCUCCUUGGUAUUCCAUGGAGCAUGCCUGUUUGAGUGUCACGUAAACCCUCACCCCUGCGAUGUAACAGUCGCCUGCGGUGGACUUGGACCGUGCCGGUAAUCGGCUCGUCUUGAAAUGCAUUAGCUGGCGCUUUUAGAGUGCUGGGCGAACGGUGUGAUAAUUAUCUGCGCCGACUGCCCUGGGCCUCUUCAGCGGCGCUGCUUACAGCCGUCCCUCGUGGACAACUAUUUUAAAGCUUUGGCCUCAAAUCAGGUAGGACUACCCGCUGAACUUAAGCAUAUCAAUAAGCGGAGGA